AUUGAACGCUGGCGGCAUGCCUUACACAUGCAAGUCGAACGGUAACAGGUCUUCGGAUGCUGACGAGUGGCGAACGGGUGAGUAAUACAUCGGAACGUGCCUAGUAGUGGGGGAUAACUACUCGAAAGAGUGGCUAAUACCGCAUGAGAUCUACGGAUGAAAGCAGGGGAUCGCAAGACCUUGUGCUACUAGAGCGGCCGAUGGCAGAUUAGGUAGUUGGUGGGAUAAAAGCUUACCAAGCCGACGAUCUGUAGCUGGUCUGAGAGGACGAUCAGCCACACUGGGACUGAGACACGGCCCAGACUCCUACGGGAGGCAGCAGUGGGGAAUUUUAGACAAUGGGCGCAAGCCUGAUCCAGCAAUGCCGCGUGCAGGAUGAAGGCCUUCGGGUUGUAAACUGCUUUUGUACGGAACGAAAAGCCCUGGGUUAAUACCCUGGGGUCAUGACGGUACCGUAAGAAUAAGCACCGGCUAACUACGUGCUAGCCGCCGCAGUAAAAC
rnacentral:rRNA from 1 species